GAUGAACGCUGGCGGCGUGCCUAAUACAUGCAAGUCGAGCGAACGGACGAGAAGCUUGCUUCUCUGAUGUUAGCGGCGGACGGGUGAGUAACACGUGGAUAACCUACCUAUAAGACUGGGAUAACUUCGGGAAACCGGAGCUAAUACCGGAUAAUAUUUUGAACCGCAUGGUUCAAUAGUGAAAGACGGUCUUGCUGUCACUUAUAGAUGGUUCCGCGCUGCAUUAGCUAGUUGGUAAGGUAACGGCUUACCAAGGCAACGAUGCGUAGCCGACCUGAGAGGGUGAUCGGCCACACUGGAACUGAGACACGGUCCAGACGCCUACGGGAGGCAGCAGUAGGGAAUCUUCCGCAAUGGGCGAAAGCCUGACGGAGCAACGCCGCGUGAGUGAUGAAGGUCUUCGGAUCGUAAAACUCUGUUAUUAGGGAAGAACAGAUGUGUAAGUAACUGUGCACAUCUUGACGGUACCUAAUCAGAAAGCCACGGCUAACUACGUG
rnacentral:rRNA from 1 species